GUGGUUGUAGCUCAGUUGGUUAGAGCGUCUGAUUGUGGUUCAGAAGGUCGCGGGUUCGAGACCCGUCUCCCACC
rnacentral:tRNA from 1 species